rnacentral:rRNA from 1 species
GACGAACGCUGGCGGCGUGCUUAACACAUGCAAGUCGAACGGAAAGGCCCCUUUGGGGGUACUCGAGUGGCGAACGGGUGAGUAACACGUGAGUAACCUGCCCUUGACUUCGGGAUAACUUCAGGAAACUGGGGCUAAUACCGGAUAGGAAUCCUUGCUGCAUGGUGGGGGUUGGAAAGCUUCGGCGGUUUUGGAUGGACUCGCGGCUUAUCAGCUUGUUGGUGGGGUAGUGGCUUACCAAGGCUUUGACGGGUAGCCGGCCUGAGAGGGCGACCGGCCACAUUGGGACUGAGAUACGGCCCAGACGCCUAAGGGAGGCAGCAGUGGGGAAUAUUGCACAAUGGGCGGAAGCCGGAUGCAGCAACGCCGCGUGCGGGAUGACGGCCUUCGGGUUGUAAACCGCGUUCAGCAGGGGCGAAGCUUGUGGUGACGGUACCUGCAGAAGAAGCACCGGCUAACUACGUG